rnacentral:rRNA from 1 species
UGAGGAAUAUUGGUCAAUGGGCGAGAGCCUGAACCAGCCAAGUCGCGUGAAGGAUGACUGUCUUAUGGAUUGUAAACUUCUUUUAUACGGGAAUAACAAGAGUCACGCGUGACUCCCUGCAUGUACCGUAUGAAUAAGCAUCGGCUAACUCCGUGCCAGCAGCCGCGGUAAUACGGAGGAUGCGAGCGUUAUCCGGAUUUAUUGGGUUUAAAGGGUGCGUAGGCGGCCUGUUAAGUCAGCGGUGAAAUCUAGGAGCUUAACUCCUAAAUUGCCAUUGAUACUGGCGGGCUUGAGUGUAGAUGAGGUAGGCGGAAUGCGUGGUGUAGCGGUGGAAUGCAUAGAUAUCACGCAGAACUCCGAUUGCGAAGGCAGCUUACUAAGGUACAACUGACGCUGAAGCACGAAAGCGUGGGUAUCAAACAGGAUUAGAUACCCUGGUAGUCCACGCUGUAAACGAUGAUAACUGGGCGUAUGCGAUAUACAGUAUGCUCCUAAGCGAAAGCGUUAAGUUAUCCACCUGGGGAGUACGCCGGCNACGGUG